GCUGUGGCUCAGUGGUGGACCAUCUGCUUUGCACACACAGAAAGUCCUAGGUUCAAUCCCCAGUGUCUCCA